GGGGUUGUGGCUCAGAGGUAGAGUGCUCGCCUAGCACGUGCGAGGCCCUGGGUUUGAUCCUCAGCACCGCA
rnacentral:tRNA from 1 species